AUGCAAUGAUGUUUGAAUUUCUUCACCUGAAACAAUCAUGUAGUUUGAGCUUUUUAACCCUGAGCAUC
ensembl:snoRNA SNORD36 Small nucleolar RNA SNORD36